rnacentral:rRNA from 1 species
UACGGAGGAUGCAAGCGUUAUCCGGAAUGAUUGGGCGUAAAGCGUCCGCAGGUGGCUGUGUAAGUCUGCUGUUAAAGAGUGAGGCUCAACCUCAUAAAGGCAGUGGAAACUACAUGGCUAGAGUGCGUUCGGGGCAGAGGGAAUUCCUGGUGUAGCGGGGAAAUGCGUAGAGAUCAGGAAGAACACCGGUGGCGAAAGCGCUCUGCUAGGCCGCAACUGACACUGAGGGACGAAAGCUAGGGGAGCGAAUGGG